CUUGCAUGAGCGCAUGUCCGUUUCUGUUGUAACAUUGAUGUAACAUCAGCCCAAUGCAGUGUGGUUAUUUCACCUCUCAAGUGGACUGGCUGCAGACUUCAGAUCUCAGAAGCCCUCUUUGGCAGACCACUACUGUGAGACUCCACAUCUGUCAGGACGUGCAACGUCUAGUGGUCUGAGAGCCGGGAUCUGCCGCUGGUCUGUCUUGGGCGUAUCAGGAAGCUGCCAAAAAUGGGCAGAAAUAUGGAAAAGUUGAACUCAGUGUGAAGGCUGAGGG